UAGGGAAUCUUCGGCAAUGGACGAAAGUCUGACCGAGCAACGCCGCGUGAGUGAAGAAGGUUUUCGGAUCGUAAAACUCUGUUGUUAGAGAAGAACAAGGACGUUAGUAACUGAACGUCCCCUGACGGUAUCUAACCAGAAAGCCACGGCUAACUACGUGCCAGCAGCCGCGGUAAUACGUAGGUGGCAAGCGUUGUCCGGAUUUAUUGGGCGUAAAGCGAGCGCAGGCGGUUUCUUAAGUCUGAUGUGAAAGCCCCCGGCUCAACCGGGGAGGGUCAUUGGAAACUGGGAGACUUGAGAGCAGGAGAGGGGAGUUGACUUCCAUGUGUAGCGGUGAAAUGCGUAGAUAUAUGGAGGAACACCAGUGGCGAAGGCGGCGCUCUGGUCUGUAACUGACGCUGAGGCUCGAAAGCGUGGGGAGCAAACAGG
rnacentral:rRNA from 1 species